rnacentral:rRNA from 1 species
GAUGAACGCUGGCGGCGUGCCUAAUACAUGCAAGUCGAGCGAACAGACGAGGAGCUUGCUCCUCUGACGUUAGCGGCGGACGGGUGAGUAACACGUGGAUAACCUACCUAUAAGACUGGGAUAACUUCGGGAAACCGGAGCUAAUACCGGAUAAUAUAUUGAACCGCAUGGUUCAAUAGUGAAAGACGGUUUUGCUGUCACUUAUAGAUGGAUCCGCGCCGCAUUAGCUAGUUGGUAAGGUAACGGCUUACCAAGGCGACGAUGCGUAGCCGACCUGAGAGGGGGAUCGGCCACACUGGAACUGAGACACGGUCCAGACCCCUACGGGAGGCAGCAGUAGGGAAUCUUCCGAAAUGGGCGAAAGCCUGACGGAGCAACGCCGCGUGAGUGAUGAAGGUCUUCGGAUCGUAAAACUCUGUUAUUAGGGAAGAACAAAUGUGUAAGUAACUAUGAACGUCUGGACGGUACCUAAUCAGAAAGCAACGGCUAACUACGU